UCUCCUUGCAUUAGCCCUCUGAGAGAGAGACGCCACCGUGGCCGCCGCUGCCGCGCAAGCUGAAGGAUCCAGGAUAUGGAAGUGGCAGCUUGUGAUUUUAAUACUAAAGGAAGCUGAGGGCGCGGGGAGGCAGAGAUCUGCUCUGUAAGAGUCUGGACUCGGCAUUGGUUUCCAAAGCCCUGUCAGGCCGACUCCCUGUCUGUCCCUCACGCCCAGUGCAGCCACCUCUGCUAAAACAGCACCCCCGAAGCCGGAUGGUGUGGACAAACCAUGGGGACUCUCUCAUAUAAGCAGUUAUGUUAUCAGAAUUUAUUGCAGCCGAAGGUCAAACACUCCCUUGAUUCUCAAGGGCAGGGUUCUCAACUGUGGCAAUGUUGACACUCAGGACCAGACCGCUCUGUGUUGUGGGGAUUGUCCUGCCCGUUGCAGGGUGUCGGCAGCAUCCCUGGUCCCCACCAGCUUUGUACCACGGCGCUCCCUCAGUCAUGACAACCAACAACAUCUUCAGGCAUUUCCAGGGGACAGCGCCCUCCCUGGUUGAGAACGGCUGAUCUAGAACGGCAUUUCCCAAGUGCAUUCUGGGGAACCCACCUCAAUGGGAUGCCGAAGGUACUUCCUGAAAAACGAGCUUCCAAGAUGGGCCAACCCCCGGCAGCCACUGAGCUUUUCGCAGUCUCCACAGAGACAGCUCUGCCUUUUCCAGAACGAGUCGCAGCAGGAGGCUUCUCAGGUGGCUUCUUCCACUUCGCCACAGGCACGUGAGUUUCCUCCUUAUCUUUUCGUGGCUUGACAGCGCAUUUCCUUUUAGUGCUAAGUAACACUCCAUUGUCUGGAUGGACCAGUUGAGCCAUUCAGCUACGGAAGGACAUCUUAACUGCUUCUAAGUUUUGGCAAUGACGAACAAAGCUGUUACAGACAUCCGUGGGCGGUUUUUCACAUGGACGUUAACGUUUUCCAUUCUUUUGAGCAAAUACCGAAAAGCACGAUCGCUGCAUGGUAAGAGCAUGCUUAGUUGGAAAGAAAUCACCGGUCUUCCAAAGGGGCCAUGCCGUUCUGCAUCCCACCAGCAGCGAAUGCGAGUUCCAGCUGCUCCACAUCCUCGCCAGCAUUCGAUGUUGUCAGCGUUUUGGAUUUUGGCCAUUCUGUUAGGUGUGCAGGCUUCUUGUUAUUUUUGCACUUCUCUGAUGAACUAUGAUCAUCUUUUCACACGUUUAUUUUCCAUCUAUAUGUCUCCUUUAAUGAGGUGUCCAUGAAGA